GGUUCGAUUCUGGCUCAGAUUGAACGCUGGCGGGAUGCUUUACAGCCGCAGUCGGACGGCGGCACGGACUUCGGUCUGGUGGCGAGUGAACGGGUGAGGAUAACGUAUCGGAACGUGCCUAGUAGCGGGGGAUAACUACGCGAAAGCGUAGCUAAUACCACAUACGCCCUUCGGGGGAAAGCGGGGGGACCUUCGGGCCUCGCACUAUUAGAGCGGCCGAUAUCGGAUUGGCUAGUUGGUGGGGUAACGGCUCACCAAGGCGACGAUCCGUAGCUGGUUUGAGAGGACGACCAGCCACACUGGGACUGAGACGGCCCAGACUCCUACGGGGAGGCAGCAGUGGGGGAUUUUGGACAAUGGGGGAAACCUGAUCCAGCCAUCCCGCGUGUGCGAUGAAGGCCUUCGGGUUGUAAAGCACUUUUUGGCAGGAAAGAAACGGCACGGGAUAAUACCCCGUGCAACUGACGGUACCUGCAGAAUAAGCACCGGCUAACUACGUGCCAGCAGCCGCGGUAAUACGUAUGGUGCAAGCGUUAAUCGGAAUUACUGAGGCGUAAAGCGUGCGCAGGCGGUUUGCGGAAAGAAAGAUGUGAAAUCCCAGGCUUAACUUUGGAACUGCAUUUUUAACUACCGAGCUAGAGUGUGUCAGAGGGAGGUGGAAUUCCGCGUGUAGCGAAAGUGAAAUGCGUAGAUGGCGGGAGAACACCACGUGGCGGCGGCCUCGCAAGGGAUAACACUGACGCUCAUGCACGAAAGCGUGGGGAGCAAGCAGGAUUGAUACCCUGAGGAAGAGGUCCACGCCUAAACGAUGUCAGCAAGCUAUUUGGGGCCUUCGGGCCUUGGUAGCGCAGCUAACGCGUGAAAUUUGACCGCCUGGGGAGUACGGUCGCAAGAUUAAACUCAAAGGGGUGACGGGGACCACAAGCGGUGGAUGAUGCUCUGAAUUAAUUCAGUGCAACGCGAAAAACCUUACCUACCCUUGACAUGUCAGGAAUCCCGAAGAGAUUUGGCAGUGCUCGCAAGAGAACGGAACACAGGUGCUCAUGGCUGUCGUCGGCCUCGUGUCAUUGAAGAUGUGGGUUAAGUCCACAACGAGCGCAACCCUUGUCAUUAGUUGCUACGAAGGGCACUCUAAUGAGACUGCCGGUGACAAACCGGAGGAAGGUGGGGAUGACGUCAAGUCCUCGCCUUGGCCCUUAUGGGUGGGGCUUCACCACGUCAUACAAUGGUCGGGACAGAGGGUCGCUAAGCCCGCGAGGGGGAGCCAGUCAGAAACCCGGUCGUAGUCCGGAUCGCAGUCUGCAACUCGACUGCGUGAAGUCGGGAAUCGCUAGUAAUCGCGGAUCAGCAUGUCGCGGUGAAUACGUUCCCGGGUCUUGCCUUCACACCGCCCGUCGCACCAUGGGAGUGGGUUUUACCAGAAGUAGUUAGCCUAACCGCAAGGGCGAUUACGAUAGAAGUUCAUGACUGGGGUGAAGUCGUAACAAGGUA
rnacentral:rRNA from 1 species